rnacentral:rRNA from 1 species
ACGCUGGCGGCAUGCCUAACACAUGCAAGUCGAACGGCAGCACAGUGGUAGCAAUACCAUGGGUGGCGAGUGGCGGACGGGUGAGUAAUGCAUCGGGACCUACCCAGACGUGGGGGAUAACGUAGGGAAACUUACGCUAAUACCGCAUACGUCCUACGGGAGAAAGCGGGGGAUCUUCGGACCUCGCGCGGUUGGACGGACCGAUGUUCGAUUAGCUAGUUGGUAGGGUAAUGGCCUACCAAGGCGACGAUCGAUAGCUGGUCUGAGAGGAUGAUCAGCCACACUGGAACUGAGACACGGUCCAGACUCCUACGGGAGGCAGCAGUGGGGAAUAUUGGACAAUGGGCGCAAGCCUGAUCCAGCAAUGCCGCGUGUGUGAAGAAGGCCUUCGGGUUGUAAAGCACUUUUAUCGGGGGCGAAAUACCAUUGGCUAAUAACCGAUGGGGCUGACGGUACCCGAGGAAUAAGCACCGGCUAACUUCGUGCCAGCAGCCGCGGUAAUACGAAGGGUGCAAGCGUUAAUCGGAAUUACUGGGCGUAAAGGGUGCGUAGGCGGUUUGUUAAGUCUGUCGUGAAAUCCCCGGGCUCAACCUGGGAAUGGCGAUGGAUACUGGCAAGCUAGAGUGUGUCAGAGGAUGGUGGAAUUUCCGGUGUAGCGGUGAAAUGCGUAGAGAUCGGAAGGAACAUCAGUGGCGAAGGCGGCCAUCUGGGACACACUGACGCUGAGCACGAAAGCGUGGGAGCAACAGGAUUAGAUACCCUGGUAGUCCACGCCCUAACGAUGCGACUGGAUGUGGUCUCACUCGGAGAUCAGUGUCGAGCUACGCGU